UACAAAAUUUCAAUUACCUGAUCAGUAACAGCUAUGUGCUCUAAAUUCAAAGAAUUUGGCGGUAUUUAGUCUUAUUAGGGGAACCUGCCACAUAAACGAUAAUCCACGCAAGAUCUUACCUACCUCAUAGUUUGUAUACCGUCAUUCAAAUAACCUUUAAAAAGAUAGUUAUUGGAAUAAAUCAUUUUAGAAUGUUAGAUCAAGGUGCAGCGGAUGAGUAGGUGUAGGUGGGUUACAUUAUAACUUAUUAUAUUUACGGAAAAAUUCUCGAAUAAGAAUUUUAAAGGCGGACUUAAAAGUAAAACCAUUUUAAUAUGAUGGUUUGAUU
rnacentral:rRNA from 1 species